GACAGAGGGUGCAAACGUUGUUCGGAAUUACCGGGCGUAAAGCGUGCGCAGGCGGUUGUGCAAGACAGAUGUGAAAUCCCCGGGCUCAACCUGGGAACUGCAUUUGUGACUGCAUGGCUGGAGUGCGGCAGAGGGGGAUGGAAUUCCGCGUGUAGCAGUGAAAUGCGUAGAUAUGCGGAGGAACACCGAUGGCGAAGGCAAUCCCCUGGGCCUGCACUGACGCUCAUGCACGAAAGCGUGGGGAGCAAACAGG
rnacentral:rRNA from 1 species